rnacentral:rRNA from 1 species
CAGUCGAGCGGCAACAUAGAGAGCUUGCUCUCUUGAUGGCGAGUGGCGGACGGGUGAGUAAUGUAUAGGGAUCUGCCCCGUAGUGGGGGACAACAGCCGGAAACGGCUGCUAAUACCGCAUACCCUCUACGGAGGAAAGCGGGGGACCUUUCGGGGCCUCUCGCUAAUGUAUGAACCUAUAUCAUAUUACCUAGUUGGGGGGGUAAUGGCCUACCAAGGCAACGAUCUGUAGCUGGUCAGAAAGGAUGAUCACCCACACUGGGACUGACACACGGCCCACACUCCUACGGGAGGCAGCAGUGGGGAUUAUUGGAGAAUGGGGGAAACCCUGAUCCAUCAAUGCCGCGUGUGUGAAGAAUGCCUUCGGGUUGUAAAGCUCUUUCAAUAGGGAGGAAAAGCUGUGCGUUACUAGCGUAUAGGCGUGACGUUACCUAUAGAACAACCACCGUCUAACUGCGUGCCAGCAGCCGCGGUAAUACGGAGGGUGCGAGCGUUAAUCGUAAUUACUGCGCGUAACGCGCGCGUAGGCGGUUUGCUAAGUCAGAUGUGAACUCCCGCGGGCUCAGCCUGAGACUGUCAUUUGAGACUGGCAUGCUAGAAUGAGAUAGGAUGUGAGAGUAACUCCAGGUGUAGCAGUGACAUGCAUAUAUAUCUGGGA